GCUCAAGCGACGAUGGGUAGCCGACCUGAGAGGGUGAUCGGCCACACUGGAACUGAGACACGGUCCAGACUCCUACGGGAGGCAGCAGUGGGGAAUAUUGCACAAUGGGCGAAAGCCUGAUGCAGCAACGCCGCGUGAGCGAUGAAGGCCUUCGGGUCGUAAAGCUCUGUCCUAAGGGAAGAUAAUGACGGUACCUUAGGAGGAAGCCCCGGCUAACUACGUGCCAGCAGCCGCGGUAAUACGUAGGGGGCAAGCGUUAUCCGGAAUCACUGGGCGUAAGGGGUGCGUAGGCGGCUGAUAAAGUCCGAGGUGAAAGGCUACGGCUUAACCGUAGUAAGCCUUGGAAACUUAUCAGCUUGAGUACAGGAGAGGAAAGUGGAAUUCCUAGUGUAGCGGUGAAAUGCGUAGAUAUUAGGAGGAACACCAGUGGCGAAGGCGACUUUCUGGACUGUUACUGACGCUGAGGCACGAAAGCGUGGGGAGCGAACAGGAUUAGAUACCCUGGUAGUCCACGCCGUAAACAAUGGAUGCUAGUUGGUCGGAG
rnacentral:rRNA from 1 species